AUUCAAAGGAAUUGUCUCGAGGCACAAAUCUGGAUUUCCCUGUCUUAGCAUAUAACAGCAGUAGAACAUGGAUCCAAUCCAGGUUUAGGUCAGGAAUGAACUGCAGCCAAGCUGAUUACUAGCACCAGUUAGCUGCCUUUAAGAAUGAUGUCUGUACAUGCGUACAAUGCCCCUGAUUCCUUAUGCUGGACUAGUUAGCCAGGUGAUAGGCUGGGUAUUUGGGGUUACGCUAGGAGCCAUGGGAGACUGUAUCAUUGUGAUUGUCACGUGGAAUAUUAUGCUGAGACCUGUAACCUGCAAACUGCUGUUACCACCUUGUGAGUGAUCUAACUGCUGGAGGGAGAAUAAACCUGCUGUUUGAAUUUUAUCCCGGUGUAUGUGAUCCUUGUCACAUUUGGCACCAGAACAGGGACCACACUGCUGGACGCUACUAUGCAGCAAAGGACCCAGGAUUAAAUUGAGUCUGAGGUCUAUAACAGCAGCUAACUAUUAAUUAGAACGCAUUUCCCAUACAUCUAAAUGUGAUCUAGAAAUCAGCCUCUUUGAAGAGCUAAAGAGAGGUUCCCACCUCGGUACAGAAAGCCUGGUGCAGCUGAAAGCAUGUAACUGAUCACCCAGAGCACCUGUGAGGAACUCCCUUAAGAAGGCAGGAUGGAGCAAGUGGAGUGCAAAAUUAAAGAGGUGGGCAGAGCUUGCAAUGGUGAGUGGUGGAGAGUCUAUCCCUCAGUCUUUGGCACUGACCCCACAAGAUGAAGCUUUAAUGGGAUUCCUGGGAGGGAGGUUCGUGGUAGGUGUUGGCCAAUUGGAAGUGGAGGCCACAGUGAGAGUGGGUAAUCCCUGACUGGAAAUAAUGCACCUACCAUUGAAGCCCCGCAUCUUGGAUCAGAUAAUCAGAAUAUGAAGACAAUAUACAACAACAAUCUGACCUCUCCAGGGACUCAACAGGAGGGCUGGAGAUGAAUCCCAACUAGUCUCUCAGGCCUCCUCCAGCGCCACCCUGGAAAAAAACAUCUCAGCCAUCAGGGUGGCGCUGGAAGGCACCAACAGACGCCUUAAUCAGUUAAUGAAGUUCCUGGAGAUGGAAUCUCAAACAGGGGAUGAAGAAGACCUCUCUUCUAAACCAAAGACUGGGGGGAGCUUGUUGAGAGUCUAGAAAAGAAAUCCUCCACCACAAAUCAACCAUCCUCACACCCUGGCCCACCUGUUCCCAACCCUGGCCAAAGUGCGUAAGGAUGGUAGCAAGCCUGCCCCCUCUACGCCCUCAGCCUGCUGUAAAGCAUGGGCACCACUAUGAACUUUUGACAGAUCUUGACCUUCUUUUCUGUACUCCUGACCUUGAAUCCAUGAAUGCAAUCUUGCCAUGGCCUCUUUAUUCAGGAUUGGAUUCUUCCUCUUUGUGAUGUGUAGCAGUUGUCUAUCAGCAAUGUCAUCUUCUGUUGAUUAAUUACAUGUGUCUUCUGACUGUUGUCACAUUGGAGUGGGUGCUGGAGAUUGUGUAUCUGCAGAAGUAGCAGAUGCAACAGCAUCCUUCAUUUUCUCUAGAUGUGUAAGCCAAACCCUCUGGUUCACCAACAACUCAUAAAGCUAGGCGUACGUAGGCUGAUUGACAGGAAGCGGGCGUCUAGGGAUGGUAACUGGGCGUUUUCUGGGAGUGUCAGGAACACAGGCGUUCCCAGACGUUUUCAGGGCGGGGGUGUGACGUCAGCUCCGGCCCCGAUCAGCCUGUGUGUAUCACACUGUAGGAGUAAGUCCUGGGCUACGCAGCCUGGAUAAAUUAUUUGAUGGUGAGUUGAGAAUGGAUUUGCAGCUGGCCGGCGUUUGUAACGCUUUUCGCACAGCGUACGCAGACUUGCACGGGGCGUUUAUUCACUUUGCCUGGGCGGCAACUAUUUGAUUGCAGACCUCUGGAAAUUUGCAGGGGUGCAAUCAGGUCUGAAUUAGGCCCAUAGUCUAGCACAGGCAGGCCGUUGUAAUACUUGUAGUGCACCAGGUUAAGCUAAUAAGUCUAUGCAAUGAAUUAGCUAUUUUAAAGCCAUUUCUACGCAAGAAAAACACGAGGUAAUGUACAUGAACAAGGUCAUUGUGGGGUCAGUUAUUUUAUAUUACUAAAUAAAAUGUUUGAACAGAAUGUGAUUAAAAUUAAAAUUGAUUUUUGAAAAAUCA